rnacentral:rRNA from 1 species
CCUACGGGGGGCUGCAGUGGGGAAUAUUGGACAAUGGGCGAAAGCCUGAUCCAGCCAUGCCGCGUGUGUGAAGAAGGCCUUCGGGUUGUAAAGCACUUUCAGUGGGGAAGAAAGCCUUGGGGCUAAUACCCUCGAGGAAGGACAUCACCCACAGAAGAAGCACCGGCUAACUCCGUGCCAGCAGCCGCGGUAAUAUGGAGGGUGCGAGCGUUAAUCGGAAUUACUGGGCGUAAAGCGCGCGUAGGCGGUCUGAUAAGCCGGUUGUGAAAGCCCCGGGCUCAACCUGGGAACGGCAUCCGGUACUGGCAGGCUAGAGUGCAGGAGAGGAGGGUAGAAUUCCCGGUGUAGCGGUGAAAUGCGUAGAGAUCGGGAGGAAUACCAGUGGCGAAGGCGGCCUACUGGACUGACACUGACGCUGAGGUGCGAAAGCGUGGGUAGCAAACAGGAUUAGAUACCCUAGUAGUC